rnacentral:rRNA from 1 species
AACGUAGGAGACAAACGUUAUCCGGAGUUACUGGGCGUAAAGGGCGUGUAGGUGGUAUCGUAAGUCUGGCGUGAAAUUUCUCGGCUUAACCGAGGCAGGUCGUCGGAUACUGCGAGGCUAGAGGACGGUAGAGGCGUGUGGAAUUCCGGGUGUAGUGGUGAAAUCCGUAGAGAUCCGGAGGAACACCAGUGGCGAAGGCGACACGCUGGGCCGUACCUGACACUGAUGCGCGACAGCAUGGGGAUCAAACAGG